GCCAUUUGCUUGUUUGUUCCGUGCCUUUAAGCACAAAAACAGUACAUAACGGAGAAACACAAACCAGUUUGUAUAUAAUCAUACGCAGUUAAGGUUCUACCUUCAGAGGAGACUGGCAGUACGACUUGGAAACAUUGUCUCACUCAGCAUUCCACAACGUUUACACCAUGAGAGUUCUACUGAUGUGCCUUGUUACCAUAGCAACAGCAGGACUAUGCCUUGCAGCGCCUGUGGAUAAUGACGUCAGUAAAGAUGAUGAUUACAAUUAUGGUCAAUCGGAAGAAGACCCAUCGUUUAUAUACCAGGAGAUGAUCCUACCCGGCCGGGACACACUUCCCAAGGAGUUCUUCGGGCCUGAAUAUGUGUGGGACACGAAGGGAUUCCCUAGGCGAGCGGAGGUGUCUCAGUCUCAGGUAGACACCGGUAGCGUGUCCACCAUCCGCAAAAACCAGAAAGCACAGAAACUGAGAUGAAGUUGAAAAAAUCAGGCCCCAGUGUUCUAAAAACACGUAUGAAAAUUGAGGUGUAGUACAAAAUUAAUUAAAUAAAAUUUGAAAUAGCCAAUGAAAACAUGUAUUUUUUUAGUUAUUAGUGAAGUGUUUCCACUGGGCAGCAUAUAGAAUUUAAUAUAAUUUAAUAUCUCACAGCUUGACGAAUUAUGUAUUAUUGUAACAUUUUAUGACUGUGUGCAUAAAUUGUACUGACCCUUCUUUA